UGAUGAAAGAGAUGAGAGAGUGACGGUCGCCGGCAAUUUCUCCGGCCGACCGUCUUACUACCCGACGAGUAGACGCCAUUAACACGUAUCAAUUAUGCCAGCCUCACUGAACGUUUUAGAAAACAUCUCGAGAGAGAAUGAAGGACCGGAUUCCGCUUUCCGGUGACCUUCCUGCAGAACGACCGGCAGGGGAGGGUACAGGCGCAUUAGAGGCGAUUGAGCGGGGUCUGCAGGUGACCGAUCACGGCUGGUGAUACGGUGACGAUUUAAGAGGCGAAUCCGUCGGUUAGGGUUCCGACGAAGCUCAGGGGAAAUAUAACGAGAAGAUAGAGAAGAGGCGUCGCAGGAACCUGAACCGACGCACUUACAGAGGCUUGCUAGGGUUUCGAAAUUGAUAAAACCGGACGUUAAUAUUCAAAUUCUUUGGUUCCUUGGUUUAUUGAUUUUCUUCGUUAUGACGAUUUGGCGACAAUUGAAGCGUUAGGAAGGUUGGCGGUGGGUGACGGAGAAGUUUAACUUGACAACUAUCAGGUCUUAGUGUAUCACUUCUUUACAGAGGUUUAAUAAGGUGAAAGCAGUUUGUGUGUGAGGAGAUUCCAAGCCAACUGGAUGGGGUUCGAGUUUUGCUUUAAUUGAAUGGCAAUUCAUUUUCUAAUGGACCACUCUUGGAGAUUACGUCAAAGCCAUAGUUCAGUUCUAUUUUGAGGUUUACUCAAGUUCAAAUCUGGACUCUAGCGAAAAUGGUGCCAUGAAAGUAUUUUAUGGACUUGACGAUACAGAACUUUCAUUCUAAUUUGGGUUGGAAAUACCAUUGUCAUCUCUGGUCUGUCUCUUUUUGAGAGAAGAUGUGAUCAUUGUAAUAUCUUCAUUUUGAGACAUACUUACAAGUCUUUUAUAUCUUUCAAUUUUUGAGUUAAUUCUUAGUU
rnacentral:lncRNA from 1 species